rnacentral:rRNA from 2 species
CCUGAUCCAGCCAUGCCGCGUGAGUGAUGAAGGCCUUAGGGUCGUAAAGCUCUUUCGCCUGUGAAGAUAAUGACGGUAGCAGGUAAAGAAACCCCGGCUAACUCCGUGCCAGCAGCCGCGGUAAUACGGAGGGGGUUAGCGUUGUUCGGAAUUACUGGGCGUAAAGCGCACGUAGGCGGAUCGGAAAGUUGGGGGUGAAAUCCCGGGGCUCAACCCCGGAACUGCCUCCAAAACUAUCGGUCUAGAGUUCGAGAGAGGUGAGUGGAAUUCCGAGUGUAGAGGUGAAAUUCGUAGAUAUUCGGAGGAACACCAGUGGCGAAGGCGGCUCACUGGCUCGAUACUGACGCUGAGGUGCGAAAGUGUGGGGAGCAAACAGGAUUAGAUACCCUGGUAGUCCACACCGUAAACGAUGAAUGCGCAGUCGUCGGAUAGCAUGCUAUUCGGUGACACACCUAACGGAUUAAGCAUUCCGCCUGGG